ensembl:rRNA 5S_rRNA 5S ribosomal RNA
GUCUGUGGCCAUGCACCCUGAAUGCACUCAAUCUCAUCUGAUCUCAGAGACUAAGCAAGAUCGGGCCUGGUUAGUACUUGGAAUGGAGACUGCCUGGAAAUACUGGGUGCUAUAGGCU